AUUGAACGCUGGCGGCAGGCCUAACACAUGCAAGUCGAACGAGUGGCGGACGGGUGAGUAAUGUCUGGGAAACUGCCCGAUGGAGGGGGAUAACUACUGGAAACGGUAGCUAAUACCGCAUACCAUCGGAUGUGCCCAGAUGGAAUUAGCUAUGAGGUGGGGUAACGGCUCACCUAGGCGACGAUCCCUAGCUGGUCUGAGAGGAUGACCAGCAACAGUGGAACUGAGCCACGGUCAAGACUCUUACGGGAGGCAGCAGUGGGGAAUAUUGCACAAUGGGCGCAAGCCUGAUGAAGCCAUGCCGCGUGUAUGAAGAAGGCCUUUGGGUUGUAAAGUACUUUCAGCGAGGAGGAGUUACUCGCAGAAGAAGCACCGGCUAAAUCCGUGCCAGCAGCCGCGGUAAUUC
rnacentral:rRNA from 1 species